GCCGAUGUAGCUCAGGGGUAGAGCGCAUCCUUGGUAAGGAUGAGGUCGCCAGUUCAAUUCUGGCCAUGGGCUCCA
rnacentral:tRNA from 1 species